rnacentral:rRNA from 1 species
GAUGAACGCUAGCUACAGGCUUAACACAUGCAAGUCGAGGGGUAACAAGAGGAAAGCUUGCUUUUCUUGUUGACGACCGGCGCACGGGUGAGUAACGCGUAUCCAACCUGCCUAUAACUAGGGAAUAACCUUGCGAAAGUAAGACUAAUAUCCUAUGAUUUCCUUUGAUGACAUCAGAUUAGGAAUAAAGAUUUAUCGGUUAUAGAUGGGGAUGCGUCUGAUUAGCUUGUUGGCGGGGUAACGGCCCACCAAGGCAACGAUCAGUAGGGGUUCUGAGAGGAAGGUCCCCCACAUUGGAACUGAGACACGGUCCAAACUCCUACGGGAGGCAGCAGUGAGGAAUAUUGGUCAAGGGGCGGAAGCCUGAACCAGCCAAGUAGCGUGCAGGAUGACGGCCCUAUGGGUUGUAAACUGCUUUUAUACAGGAAUAAAGUUAGCCACGUGUGGUUAUUUGUAGGUACUGUAUGAAUAAGGACCGGCUAAUUCCGUGCCAGCAGCCGCCGUAA